UGUUGGGUAUCUUCGCCUUGCCGGGAUUACUCCUCUUGUUUCCCGAACCUCCGGUCCUUCUCACUCGACACUCUAGUGCCAAGAUCCACUUCACGUUCCUUCUUCUUCGUCGUCUUCACUCCUCUUGUACCUGUACCUGUAGAACACCAAUAAACCAACAAGUAAACUGAUACAAAGUGAAGAAAAGCAAAAUGAGACAGAAGAGCAGGAAAGUGCAGAAAUGAUUGAAGUGGGAAAAUGUGUCCUCGGGACACUUUGGCUCAGAUUUUCCCACGGUAGGCAGAGCUUCUUCCGGCAGCGUUAAUGAUCACAG
rnacentral:lncRNA from 1 species